AAUGGGCGAAAGCCUGACGGAGCAACGCCGCGUGAGGGAUGAAGGCCUCUGGGCUGUAAACCUCUUUUAUCAAGGAAGAAGAUCUGACGGUACUUGAUGAAUAAGCCACGGCUAAUUCCGUGCCAGCAGCCGCGGUAAUACGGGAGUGGCAAGCGUUAUCCGGAAUUAUUGGGCGUAAAGCGUCCGCAGGCGGCCCUUCAAGUCUGCUGUUAAAAAGUGGAGCUUAACUCCAUCAUGGCAGUGGAAACUGUUGGGCUUGAGUGUGGUAGGGGCAGAGGGAAUUCCCGGUGUAGCGGUGAAAUGCGUAGAUAUCGGGAAGAACACCAGUGGCGAAGGCGCUCUGCUGGGCCAUCGCUGACGCUCAUGCACGAAAGCCAGGGGAGCGAAAGGGAUU
rnacentral:rRNA from 1 species